AUCCAGCUGACGAGUCCCAAAUAGGACGAAACACGAGUCAAACUGGAU
rfam:Schistosoma haematobium scaffold454_30, whole genome shotgun sequence.